AAGACUAUAGACCUGCGGAGUACCUGCGGAAGGAUCAUUACCGAGUGGCCCAAGUCCGCAAGGACCGGUUACCCGACCUCUUGUCAUUUGCUCUGGGGUCGCCUGCAAGGUUCGGCCCGCACUUCCUCCAUGUGGGGUUGGGUGGGUCGCGCCGAACUGGCGGCCUCAGCUUCGAUAACUUCGGCGGAAGUGGUAGGUUCGACCUGCCCGCCGCCGGCCGUAUUCAACCUGCAAGUAAUU
rnacentral:misc_RNA from 1 species